rnacentral:rRNA from 1 species
UCCAGCCCCUACACCGAAAAUAAACCUUAAUCCAACAUCGAGGUCGCAAACCCCCCUGCCGAUAAGAACUCUCAAGGGGGAUAACGCUGUUAUCCCUAAGGUAAUUUAAUCUUACAAUCAAAAUAAAUGGAUCAAAUAAUUAUAAAUAAAUAUAACAACAUAAAGGAGGGGUUAAAUAAAUUCCUCCCAUCACCCCAACAAAACAUACUAAAUGGCCCAGUGAACCCUCACAAACAGAAAAGAACCAUAAUAAAUGUUAAACUCUAUAGGGUCUUCUCGUCCCAUAAAAACAUCUAAGAAUUUUAACUCAAAGACCAAAUUCAAUAAACAAUUCAAAAUUAAGACAGCCCAUGCCUCGUCAAGCCAUUCAUACCAGAUCACAAUUAAAGAACUAAUGACUAUGCUACCUUUGCACGGUCAAAAUACCGCGGCCCUUCAACAUCAAAUCAGCGGGCAGG